AGACCCGAAACCCGGUGAUCUAGCCAUGGGCAGGUUGAAGGUUGGGUAACACUAACUGGAGGACCGAACCGACUAAUGUUGAAAAAUUAGCGGAUGACCUGUGGCUGGGGGUGAAAGGCCAAUCAAACCGGGAGAUAGCUGGUUCUCCCCGAAAGCUAUUUAGGUAGCGCCUCGUGAAUUCAUCUCCGGGGGUAGAGCACUGUUUCGGCUAGGGGGCCAUCCCGGCUUACCAACCCGAUGCAAACUGCGAAUACCGGAGAAUGUUAUCACGGGAGACACACGGCGGGUGCUAACGUCCGUCGUGAAGAGGGAAACAACCCAGACCGCCAGCUAAGGUCCCAAAGUCAUGGUUAAGUGGGAAACGAUGUGGGAAGGCCCAGACAGCCAGGAUGUUGGCUUAGAAGCAGCCAUCAUUUAAAGAAAGCGUAAUAGCUCACUGGUCGAGUCGGCCUGCGCGGAAGAUGUAACGGGGCUAAACCAUGCACCGAAGCUGCGGCAGCGAACGUAUCACCCAAGACAACUUUACGGAGUUGACGAUUGACGGAGCGAAGCGACGUCAAAGCGUUCAUUAAAGUCGAGUUGGCUUAGGGAUACGUUCGUUGGGUAGGGGAGCGUUCUGUAAGCCUGUGAAGGUGUGUCGUGAGGCAUGCUGGAGGUAUCAGAAGUGCGAAUGCUGACAUAAGUAACGAUAAAGCGGGUGAAAAGCCCGCUCGCCGGAAGACCAAGGGUUCCUGUCCAACGUUAAUCGGGGCAGGGUGAGUCGACCCCUAAGGCGAGGCCGAAAGGCGUAGUCGAUGGGAAACGGGUUAAUAUUCCCGUACUUGGUGUUACUGCGAAGGGGGGACGGAGAAGGCUAUGUUGGCCGGGCGACGGUUGUCCCGGUUUAAGCGUGUAGGUGUGUGUUCCAGGUAAAUCCGGUUCACUUUAACACUGAGGCGUGAUGACGAGGCACUACGGUGCUGAAGCAACAAAUGCCCUGCUUCCAGGAAAAGCCUCUAAGCAUCAGGUAACAUCAAAUCGUACCCCAAACCGACACAGGUGGUCAGGUAGAGAAUACCAAGGCGCUUGAGAGAACUCGGGUGAAGGAACUAGGCAAAAUGGUGCCGUAACUUCGGGAGAAGGCACGCUGACACGUAGGUGAAGUGAUUUACUCAC
rnacentral:rRNA from 1 species